rnacentral:rRNA from 1 species
AUUGAACGCUGGCGGCAUGCUUUACACAUGCAAGUCGAACGGUAACAGGCCGCAAGGUGCUGACGAGUGGCGAACGGGUGAGUAAUGCAUCGGAACGUGCCCAGUCGUGGGGGAUAACGCAGCGAAAGCUGCGCUAAUACCGCAUACGAUCUAUGGAUGAAAGCGGGGGACCGUAAGGCCUCGCGCGAUUGGGGCGGCCGAUGUCAGAUUAGGUAGUUGGUGGGGUAAAGGCCUACCAAGCCAACGAUCUGUAGCUGGUCUGAGAGGACGACCAGCCACACUGGGACUGAGACACGGCCCAGACUCCUACGGGAGGCAGCAGUGGGGAACUUUGGACAAUGGGCGCAAGCCUGAUCAAGCAAUGCCGCGUGCAGGAAGAAGGCCUUCGGGUUGUAAACUGCUUUUGUACGGAACGAAAAGGCUCUGGUUAAUACCUGGGGCUCAUGACGGUACCGUAAGAAUAAGCACCGGCUAACUACGUGCCAGCCGCCGCAGUAACAC